GACGAACGCUGGCGGCGUGCCUAAUACAUGCAAGUAGAACGCAGUUGCGAACGGGUGAGUAACGCGUAGGUAACUGCCUGGUAGCGGGGGGUAACUAUUGGAAAAGAUAGCUAAUACCGCAUCCUACCAGAUGGACCUGCGUUGUAUUAGCUAGUUGGGUGGGUAACGGCUCACCAAGGCAACGAUACAUAGCCGACCUGGGAGGGGGGUCCGCCAACCUGGGACCGGAGCACGGCCCCGACCCCUACGGGAGGGAACAGUAGGGAAUCUUCGGCAAUGGACGGAAGUCUGAACGAGCAACGCCGCGUGAGUGAAGAAGGUUUUCGGAUCGUAAAGCUCUGUUGUAAGAGAAGCGGUAUCUUACCAGAAAGGGACGGCUAACUACGUGCCAGCAGCCGCGGUAAUUC
rnacentral:rRNA from 1 species